GACGUAGGUGGCAAGCGUUGUUCGGAAUCACUGGGCAUAAAGCGCACGUAGGCGGCCAAGUAAGUCAGGUGUGAAAUACCUCGGCUCAACCGAGGAACUGCGUCCGAUACUGCUUGGCUUGAGGUCCGGAGGGGAGAGUGGAAUUCCCGGUGGAGCGGUGAAAUGCGUAGAGAUCGGGAAGAACGCCGGCGGCGAAAGCGACUCUCUGGUCGGAAUCUGACGCUGAGGUGCGAAAGCUAGGGGAGCAAACGGG
rnacentral:rRNA from 1 species